CCUACGGGUGGCAGCAGUGAGGAAUAUUGGUCAAUGGUCGAGAGCCUGAACCAGCCAAGUCGCGUGAAGGAUGACGGCCCUACGGGUUGUAAACUUCUUUUGUCAGGGAGCAAUUGGGUCCACGCGUGGCCUUAGCGAGGUUACCUGAAGAAAAAGCACCGGCUAACUCCGUCCCAGCAGCGGCGUUAAUACGGGGGUUGCGAGCGUUAUCCGGAUUUAUUGGGUUUAAAGGGUGCGUAGGCGGAUUAUCAAGCCAGCGGUAAAAAUUCGGGGCUCAACCCCGUCGUGCCGUUGAAACUGGUGUUCUUGAGUGGGCGAGAAGUAUGCGGAAUGCGUGGUGUAGCGGUGAAAUGCAUAGAUAUCACGCAGAACUCCGAUUGCGAAGGCAGCAUACCGGCGCCACACUGACGCUGAAGCACGAAAGCGUGGGUAUCGAACAGGAUUAGAUACCCGUGUAGUC
rnacentral:rRNA from 1 species